rnacentral:rRNA from 1 species
UCCUCCAAGGCUAAAUACUCCUGACUGACCGAUAGUGAACCAGUACCGUGAGGGAAAGGCGAAAAGAACCCCGGCGAGGGGAGUGAAAAAGAACCUGAAACCGUGUACGUACAAGCAGUAGGAGCCCACUUGUUGGGUGACUGCGUACCUUUUGUAUAAUGGGUCAGCGACUUAUAUUCUGUAGCAAGGUUAACCGUAUAGGGGAGCCGCAGGGAAACCGAGUCUUAACUGGGCGUUAAGUUGCAGGGUAUAGACCCGAAA